CGAGUUUGAUUAUGACCAAAUCUCAUACGAUUAAUAGUCGUGAUAAAUUGUCUGCUGUCGACGUCUUUAUUGUUGUGGUACCAAGGUUUGGCGGGCAGGCUUCCUUGGAUCUUGGCAUACCAUUUUCCCUUAUCGUUAGCAAUAUUUAUGUAAUAGUUAUUCCAUAAUAAUUUUAGAGCAUUUUUAAGUGAGCUAUAAUAGUCGGUGAAUGAAACUUUAAACAUAUUCGAGUGGUCUUCAUUAUGAACAUUCCGAGCAGCUUGAUCCGCUAUUUCAUUUCCAGCAAUUCCUUUAUGACCAGGUAAAUAACCAGAUAAAAGUUGGUUAAAGUCUACAUAAGGGCCUGGUGUAACUGAUUCAACAACUUUGGGAGACUUUGCCUGGUAUGCCAAUAUCAUCAAGAAUGUGAAUCAUGAUUGAAGGGUCAACAUUAUCAAAUGCACCCUGGAUAUCUAAGAAAGCACAUACUGUAAAGGAAUGGCUAUGGAAAGAAUUUUUUAUAUCUGCAAUUAAAGCAGUAAAACUUUCAGCAGCGCUCCUGCCUUUCCGGAAACCAAAUUGUUGAGAAGGAGGGGACAAUGGAGCAUAUUUUUCAAUAAAUGAUGGUAUCCAUUCAUCAUUUUUUGGGGAUUUAUGUACAGAUUCAGAAUGAAACUUGGACCAAUCUGCUUUAGAAUAAAUAUACUGUUCUGUGGGAAGUCCUGUAUCAUAUUUUUCUAUAGAUGUUUGGAUAUCAAUAAUAGUAGGAUAAUGGUAACUGCCCAUUGGAUCGUCAUGGACUCUCCAUACACAUAAUGGUGCUACAGAUGGACUAAUAACAGAAAUAUCUAUUGCAGACGGUUGAUGAGUAGAAGUACCAACUGUAGUUGGAGAACCUGUGUUUAAUAUGCAUAGAUCAAAUUCAUCACACAUAUUAUAAAUUUCAGUGCCUCUACUGUUAGUAUUGUUACAGCCAAAGGCUACAUGAUGAGCAUUUAGAUCACCUGCCAGCAUUACUGGUUUAGGAAGCCUUUGUAGUAUUUGUUUAAGUUUAUUAACUAUAAAACGGCCUCUACCACUUUUUGGUGGGGGACAAUAUGUACAUAAUAUAGAUAGGUUACCUAAUUGUGUUUUUAAUAUUAUAGCUACAGAUUGCAUAAAGUCAUAAAAAGGUGUGGGAACAAUUGUAUAUUUAAAAUCGUUUUUUAUUAAUAUACCUACACCUCCAUAUCCACCUAUACCAUUUUGACUUACAUAGUUAUAACCAGGCAUGUUAAAGUGGCAAUUCUCUCUUAACCAUGUUUCAUUUAGUAAGCAAAUAUCUAUAUAAUUCUCAUGAAUAUAAUUAAUAAGUAAAGGUUUUUUAUUAUACAUACUUUGUAUAUUGAAUUGAGAUAUUCUAAUAAAU